ensembl:misc_RNA Y_RNA Y RNA
GGCUAGACAGAGUGCAGUGGUGUUUAUACCUGAUUGAUCAUGGGCAAUUACAGAUUUCUUUGUUCCUUCUCCCCUCCCACUGCAUCCCCUGGUUAGCCUUUC